UACGUAGGGAGCAAGCGUUGUUCGGAUUUACUGGGCGUAAAGGGCGCGUAGGCGGCGCGGUAAGUCACUUGUGAAAUCUCUGAGCUUAACUCAGAACGGCCAAGUGAUACUGCAGUGCUAGAGUGCAGAAGGGGCAAUCGGAAUUCUUGGUGUAGCGGUGAAAUGCGUAGAUAUCAGGUGGAAUACCGGAGGCGAAGGCGGCUUACUGGCCAGACACUGACACUCAGAUCCGAAAGCGUGGGGAUCAAACAGG
rnacentral:rRNA from 1 species